AUGACAACAGAAGCCACAGAAAUCCUCCUCAUCAAGAACAUGACUCUGAUCUGCGUCCUCAUCUGGACUCUCCUCUGCUGCUGCUUCACAGAGUCCAGAGGCCAGGUCACAGUGACUCAGUCUGGAGCAGUGAGCUCUGCUCCGGGACGCUCCGUCUCCAUCACAUGUACGACCAGUCAGAAUGUUAAUGGGAACUAUUUAGCCUGGUACCAACAGAGAGAUGGAGGAACUCCUAAACUGCUCAUUCACACUACUAGCAAUCGAGUAUCAGGGAUUUCAGACCGUUUUACAGGCAGUGGAUCAAACUCUGACUUCACUCUGACCAUCAGUGGAGUCCAGACUGAUGAUACAGCAGUUUACUACUGUCAGAGUUACCAUUACCUCAACAGUCAGCAUGUGUUCACACAGUGA